GUAACCCUACGUUUCUUUAGCUGAGCUUCAUAGCUACAGCUUUAGUGUCUAUAAUGUAGAAGAUACUUUUUUUUAUUUAAAAAAAGUAUAACAGUUAGGAAAGAUACCGGUGACUACAGCUGCAUUUGUUUUGUUGUUGAGGGGAGAGCUACGGAAGGCAGAGGAGAGCAAUAGCGAGGUGACUCAGGACGGGUCAUGCUCUGACACAGAGGAGCUGGUAGACGAAACCCAUAACAGUGAUGGGGAGGAGAACGGCACACCAGACGAGUGUGAAGAUGAUGACAUGGAGGAAUCCCGUAACAGAAUCACCCACCACAACAGGACCAAGCGGCGUGGUGACAGGCAGCGGCAGCAGGAGCAGCACAAAGAGGAAUGGACAUGGGAGGACGAAUUGGACGGUAAAGGACCCUGGUCACAGCCAGGAGAAUAUCGCCGCCCGUCUUGGGAGGGGGCACAGGGAGAGUGUGGCAGAGUCAGGAGUCAGACCUGAGCCAACUCCCCCUGUUUAUCGUAAGGAGCCAAGGAGGAAACCAGAACCAGAGCCGGUGUUGGAGGUGAGCGAAGCAGAGACCGUGAAGGAGUGAAUGGGGAAAUUGGAGGAGAGAGUUAUGAGGAAGUUGCUGUGUUGGUGCAUGAGGCACGGCAUUCGCCCAACGGAGCGUGUCGGGGAUUUGAUGGCACCUGGGUCAGCUAUCCAUACUCGUCCUGAGGUGCGUGCUAGUCGUCUGGUGAAGAUUGUGCCAGCCUCACGCACCAGGCUUCCUGUGCACCUCCCUAGCCUUGCACGUCCUGUGCCAGCUCAGUGCUACAGUGCUCCUAGCUGUGCUAACCGUGGCGGGCGUGGUACUGGUCAGGCACCGUGUUAUGCGGUGGAACGCACGAUGUCCCCAGUACGCGUGCUUAGCCCGGUACGCUACAUCUCCACUCCCCACAUCUGCCGGGCUAGGGUGAAGAUCCAGCCAGGGCGGUUGGUGCCAGCCGUGCUCUCAAGAUCUCUAGUACGCUUUCACGGUCCGGUCCAUCCAGUGCCACCUCCACACACCAGCCCUCCGGUGGCAGCUCCCCGCACCAGGCUUCCUGUGCGUGUCCUCUGCCCAGUGCCAGCACCACGCACCAGGCCUACAGUGCGCUUCACCUGUCAAAUCAAAUCAAAUGUAUUUAUAUAGCCCUUCGUACAUCAGCUGAUAUCUCAAAGUGCUGUACAGAAACCCAGCCUGAAACCCCAAACAGCAAGCAAUGCAGGUGUAGAAGCACGGUGGCUAGGAAAAACUCCCUAGAAAGGCCAAAACCUAGGAAGAAACCUAGAGAGGAACCAGGCUAUGUGGGGUGGCCAGUCCUCUUCUGGCUGUGCCGGGUGGAGAUUAUAAAAGAACAUGGCCAAGAUGUUCAAAUGUUCAUAAAUGACCAGCAUGGUCGAAUAAUAAUAGGGCAGAAUAGUUUAAACUGGAGCAGCAGCACGGUCAGGUGGACUGGGGACAGCAAGGAGUCAUGUCAGGUAGUCUUGGGGCAUGGUCCUAGGGCUCAGGUCCUCCGAGAGAGAGAAAGAAAGAGAGGAGAGAAUUAGAGAACGCACACUUAGAUUCACACAGGACACCGAAUACGACAGGAGAAGUACUCCAGAUAUAACAAACUGACCCUAGCCCCCCGACACAUAAACUACUGCAGCAUAAAUACUGGAGGCUGAGACAGGAGGGGUCAGGAGACACUGUGGCCCCAUCCGAGGACACCCCCGGACAGGGCCAAACAGGAAGGAUAUAACCCCACCCACUUUGCCAAAGCACAGCCCCCACACCACUAGAGGGAUAUCUUCAACCACCAACUUACCAUCCUGAGACAAGGCUGAGUAUAGCCCACAAAGAUCUCCGCCAUGGCACAACCCAAGGGGGGGGCGCCAACCCAGACAGGAUGACCACAUCAGUGAAUCAACCCACUCAGGUGAUGCACCCCUUCCAGGGACGGCAUGAGAGAGCCCCAGUAAGCCAGUGACUCAGCCCCUGUAAUAGGGUUAGAGGCAGAGAAUCCCAGUGGAAAGAGGGGAACCGGCCAGGCAGAGACAGCAAGGGCGGUUCGUUGCUCCAGAGCCUUUCCGUUCACCUUCACACUCCUGGGCCAGACUACACUCAAUCAUAUGACCCACUGAAGAGAUGAGUCUUCAGUAAAGAAGGUUGAGACCAAGUUUGCGUCUCUGACAUGGGUAGGCAGACCGUUCCAUAAAAAUUGAGCUCUAUAGGAGAAAGCCCUGCCUCCAGCUGUUUGCUUAGAAAUUCUAGGGACAGCGCUGCCAGAGCCUUUCUAUUCUCCAGCGCCGCCUGAGCUGCUCAUCUGCCCAGCGCCGCCAGAGUCGUCUGUCAUGAGCCGCCAGAGUCUCCCGUCUGUCAUGAGCCGCCAGAGUCUCCCGUCUGUCAUGAGCCGCCAGAGUCUCUCCCGUCUGUCAUGAGCCGCCAGAGUCUCCCGUCUGUCAUGAGCCGCCAGAGUCUCUCGUCUGUCAUGAGCCGCCAGUCAGUCACAUUUCUUGUUUUGUAGUUUAUUCAUGUAUAGUUUCAUUAUUAAAGAACCAUGAAUUAUAACCACGCUGCAUUUUGGUCCGCCUCUCCUUCCCAGGAGGAAUCCCGUUACAGAUCUCUUCAAGCAAAAAAUAAAAACAAGUUGGAAGAUGGCGAUUAGUGAAGCUUCUACAGUGGUGUAUAUAAUUCCUGUUCUCUUUAAAAUGAUAAUGAUUAUUUCAUCCUAAUAAUAAUUAUUAUUUUUUACUGAUCAGUAGCUUGCUGCUUGCUGUGCC